GAUGAAGAACGUAGUGAAAUGCGAUAAGUAAUGUGAAUUGCAGAAUUCAGUGAAUCAUCGAAUCUUUGAACGCAACUUGCGCACCUUGGCAUUCCGAGGAGCAUGCCUGUUUGAGUGUCAUGAAACUAUCAAGCUACAAAUGUUCUUGUUAGCAUUUGUUGGUUUGGACAUUGGAUGCUUUGCUGGACAAUAUUGUACAGCUCAUCCGAAAUUUAUUAGCUGGUAUAAAUACCUUGGACUAUAUCCACUUGGCGUGAUAAGUAUCACCCGCUGAGGACUUGUUCAUUGGAGGUUGACUGCUUCUAGUAACCCAAUUAUAUUUGAAUCAUCUGACCUCAAAUCAGGUAGGACUACCCGCUGAACUUAAGCAUAUCAAUAAGCGGAGGA
rnacentral:misc_RNA from 1 species